rnacentral:rRNA from 1 species
AGCGAACGCUGGCGGCAGGCCUAACACAUGCAAGUCGAACGAACUCUUCGGAGUUAGUGGCGGACGGGUGAGUAACACGUGGGAACGUGCCUUUAGGUUCGGAAUAACUCAGGGAAACUUGUGCUAAUACCGAAUGUGCCCUUCGGGGGAAAGAUUUAUCGCCUUUAGAGCGGCCCGCGUCUGAUUAGCUAGUUGGUGAGGUAAAGGCUCACCAAGGCGACGAUCAGUAGCUGGUCUGAGAGGAUGAUCAGCCACAUUGGGACUGAGACACGGCCCAAACUCCUACGGGAGGCAGCAGUGGGGAAUCUUGCGCAAUGGGCGAAAGCCUGACGCCGCCAUGCCGCGUGAAUGAUGAAGGUCUUAGGAUUGUAAAAUUCUUUCACCGGGGACGAUAAUGACGGUACCCGGAGAAGAAGCCCCGGCUAACUUCGU